UGCGCACGUGUGUGUGUAUGGAUGUAUGUUGUUACAGGGUGGUUAACUUCGCCAGCGGCCCCCUUUCCCGGGGCAGUCCCUGCUCUCCCCUGCUAGAGGGGCACCCUAAUCCGUCACCCCAUCCGACUUCGGAAUGUAUUCGUUGGGUUCGGCAACUCACCACCAGCAUCCAACCAAAUCUAGCGGAUCAACGGCGCCUCAACUUAGUUCCUGGUCAGCUCGCAAGUUGAUAUUAUCACGUCCUACACCGUCCAUAUGAUGGGGGGCCACCUCCCAUUUCAUCACUCCUCAAACACCCGAGGAGCCGGCAGGCGGAUUUGAACCCGGGUCGACUGGGUCGACUGGGAGCAGAAGUCAGGCCUUAACCUCUGCCAGCCGCCUGCCGCCUGUAUGUAUGUUGUUACAGGGUGGUAAAGCUACACUAGCGGCCCCCUUUCCCGCGGCAGUUCCCUGCUCUCCCCUGUGAGAGGGGCACCCUAAUCCAUUCACCCCAUCCGACUUCAGAAUGUAUUCGUUGGGUUCAGCAACUCACCACCAGCAUCCAACCAAAUCUAGCGGAUCAACGGCGCAUCAACUUAGUUCCUGGUCAGCUCGCAAGUUGAUUUCACCACGUCCUACAUCGUCCAUAGGAUGGGGGGCCACCUCCCAUUUCAACACUCCUCAAACACCCGAGGAGCCGGCAGGCGGAUUUGAACUC
rnacentral:lncRNA from 1 species